AAUUCUCAAUCGCUACAAUCUUGCAUUGUUUAGUGGAUUGGAUGUGGGGGUCUUUUGUGGGUCUAUCUCUUAGGUCUGCUCCCCUGAAAAUCAUUAGCUGGAAUGCCUUUGCAAAACCAACUAUCAGUAUGAUAAUUAUCUACUCUGAUGUUGUUGUAAAAGGGGAUCUGCUUUCAAACUGUCAUUCAGACAAUAUGAAUCA
rnacentral:misc_RNA from 1 species